rnacentral:rRNA from 1 species
UACGAAGGGGGCUAGCGUUGCUCGGAAUCACUGGGCGUAAAGCGCACGUAGGCGGAUUGCUAAGUCAGGGGUGAAAUCCUGGAGCUCAACUCCAGAACUGCCUUUGAUACUGGCGACCUUGAGCCCGGGAGAGGUGAGUGGAACUGCGAGUGUAGAGGUGAAAUUCGUAGAUAUUCGCAAGAACACCAGUGGCGAAGGCGGCUCACUGGCCCGUUACUGACGGCUGAGGCACGAAAGCGUGGGGAGCAAACAGG